CAUUUUUAAAAUUGUCUGUAACUUUUAUUUUUUCGACAUUUUUAGAUUGAUUGAGCUAAUUCCGAUUAACAGUGGUUCACAAAGAUAUCGGAACUGAGUGCUUCGCGUAUAUGAACUAUUUGAGAUCGUUUGGUCCCUCUACAUUUUUUGCGGUGUGCUUGGCUUGUUAAAGUGAUAAAGUGCUGUAUUAAAGAUACCUAAAGUACAAUAUAAGCUAAGUUUUCGUGAUGCCAGGCUGCAGAAUGAAGAAUUUGAAGACUGGAGUCGUAGGGCUUGUACAAAUCCACAAAGACCCUAUUGCGCGUACUGCAAAUCAACAAUAAGCGCCAAAAUUUAUGAUGUGCGCCACCAAGCCGGCUUAAAAAAACAUGUUGGUGCGAUGGGCGCAGUUACUCCAAAAAAUAGAUUGCCGUUUCUCAGACAGUCGACGAAAACCGUGAACCAGGAAGUCCAGCGAAUAUUCUCACAGAUGAAAAUUGUGAAGAGCAAACUACGCAACGCCAUGAGCCUAAAAACAUUAAAAGCGAUUUUGUAUAUAAGAAUUUUUAACAGAUAUGGACUACGCGACACGAAAAAUGCUGCGACAAUUAUGCUCUUCCCUAUAAGUAUUUAACGCAAAUUGCUGGAAAAGAGAAAUACUCAGAUGUUGAUGCCGCUGAUGAACUAGAUCGAAUAAUAAGUAUAAUUAAACUUUUUUUCUGGCACUCUCAGAAAAUUUUUGGCCACUUUCGCUUUGGAAAACCUGGCAACACUGCCUAGAGGAUAACACAUGACUACCAAUCUAAGCUGUAUGGGGAUCGAAUCCCGCUGUAGACAUUAGAUUUCUUUUUCAGGUUUCUUUAUUUAUUUGUUUGUAUUUAAAAAAUAAAUAAAAAAUUUGUAUAGUUCUUUUAUAUCAUGAUUCAAUUGUUAGGUAAUGUUUUGAGUUUUUUAAAUAUUUUUCA